rnacentral:rRNA from 1 species
UACGGAGGGAGCUAGCGUUGUUCGGAUAUACUGGGCGUAAAGCGCACGUAGGCGGCGUCGUAAGUCAGGGGUGAAAUCCCGGAGCUCAACUCCGGAACUGCCCUUGAAACUGCAAUGCUAGAAUCUUGGAGAGGCGAGUGGAAUUCCGAGUGUAGAGGUGAAAUUCGUAGAUAUUCGGAAGAACACCAGUGGCGAAGGCGGCUCACUGGACCGGCAUUGACGCUGAGGUGCGAAAGCGUGGGGAGCAAACAGG